rnacentral:sRNA from 1 species
CAAUAAAAGAGAGAGAGAGAGAGAACAAUGAUAUAAAAAUUUAAAAAUUUUUUGGGAAUGAGAAAUCACAGCAGAAGGGGCAAGAAGUUUUGAUGAUGAUCAAGUUAAAAGAGAAGAGAAAUCUUCAAGAAGAAAGAAAUUCUUUUUGCUUCUCUGCACACAACCUCUGACAAUCAAAGAAUCCAUCAAUUCCACCUCAUUAGAAAAUCAAUAACAACACAUAUACAAGCUAUCUAGAAGACACAAUUGAUAUACUGCUAUCAACAAGCAGAUGGAAAUGCAAUUAUCUACUAGCAAGCAAUCUAUACAAUCACUGAGGGCAGCUCUUAUAAAAAAAGGGGGCAAUUGUAAUGCACUCAUUUAUUAUUUCCUUAUUAUCUUCACUUAUUCUUACCUCUUUCCAUUAUACUCUUGCUACCGCUAUUUCUAUAUGUAUAUAUAUAUCAAUGUAUGUAUUUCGCACAUCUUCUUUCUCUUUCUUUUCUUCCUUAGCA